AAAGACAUUGCAGCGGUUUAUGUAUAUAAUUAAGUAUAUAGCCUAACCGAAAAGGUGUACAUUUUUACAACGUGUUAGACUACAGUAUUCUUUGCUUAAAACCGAAAAUCUAAUAAUUAAAAGAUUCAUGUUAAAAAAAAAAUCAUCGGUUAGUAGAUGAGUAUAGGUCGUGAUUAAUCGAAUGAUUUAAAAAUAGCCAUAAACAUUGACAAACAAAACAGAAUGGUUCCCCAGUUAUCGGUCUCGAAGUAAAGCUACCUCUGCUAAUAAUUUCGUGUUUUCAUAAAACAUUAUUCCCUGAUAGAAAAAAAUUCCGUUGAUGUAAAGCAAUGGAUUGAUAUGUGUUAUACAUAGGGAAUCUGAAUCUGCCGAAAUUGCUCACCUUCGACAGCGUCGCGUAGACAUUACUCAGAAGGUGUUUGACUUAGUUCGAUAUGACCCAGAUCGGCUCCAGAGGGUCAUAACUGGUAACCAAUCAUGGUUUUAUGGUUAUGACGUGGAAAGCAAAGCUCAGUCAUCCUUUUGGUAGUUUCCGCAUUAGCCAAUAUCGAAAAAGGCGCGCCAAGGUCGUACGGUCAAUAAAGUACAUUACUUGCAUUACCAAAAAUUGUAUGGAGAGGCCGUAAUUGACAUCAACAAGCGUUCUUUCAGCGUUAGUUUAAAGUCUUUUUCAGCGCAUACAGUACCGACAACUUUAGCCAAUGAGAAAAAUGACCCCUGGAUAAGCGACUGCUUUAUAUUAAUAGAGCAACAGACUGUCCAUGGAUAGCUGCUAUAAAUCAUAUUUACUUAACAAAUAAUUAGCCAACCUACAUAAAGUAUUUAUUUCAACCAAUAACCA